GCUGAAAUGAUAUUAAUACUGUUUGCAUCUAUUGGGGUAGCACAAGUACUCCUCUUCUUAUGGAGAAUAAAACACAGGAAAUCCUACCAGGCCAUUACCUUAUUAGGCAUGUGGAUAAUUCCAUUUUAUUUGUGUGUUCGGUUGAGUUUCUGGAGGAUGAUCAUCGUAUGGUCAAUAUUCUCUGUUAUAACAUUA